rnacentral:rRNA from 1 species
UGGGGAAUUUUGGACAAUGGGGGAAACCCUGAUCCAGCCAUCCCGCGUGUGCGAUGAAGGCCUUCGGGUUGUAAAGCACUUUUGGCAGGAAAGAAACGUCAUGGGUUAAUACCCCGUGAAACUGACGGUACCUGCAGAAUAAGCACCGGCUAACUACGUGCCAGCAGCCGCGGUAAUACGUAGGGUGCAAGCGUUAAUCGGAAUUACUGGGCGUAAAGCGUGCGCAGGCGGUUCGGAAAGAAAGAUGUGAAAUCCCAGAGCUCAACUUUGGAACUGCAUUUUUAACUACCGGGCUAGGGUGUGUCAGAGGGGGGUGGAAGUCCGGGUGUAGCAGUGAAAUGCGUAGAUAUGCGGUGGGAAACCGAUGGCGAAGGCAGCCUCCUGGGAUAACACUGACGCUCAUGCACGAAAGCGUGGGGAGCAAACAGG